rnacentral:lncRNA from 1 species
UGCUGCCUUAAACCCUAAGCAGGUUUGUUUAAUUCUGUGUAGGUAUACUCCUCUUUAUUAGUGGAUAAAUAUUAGAAAAUCAUCUCUCAGAAGGUGCAGUCAAAGGCAGGCUGGGUUUUCCCAGCCGGGUGGGGGGUGAGCCCCUCAGGGGGCCCCGGAGUGGUCUGCAGAGUAAGGCUGUCCUGCCAGGGCUCAUACACCAGUGUGUAGCUCUCUGCCCUCUUGACAGUGAACUUGUAGGUGCGAUUGGGCAGCAGGUUGUGGACUUCAAAGGUGCAGGCUGCCACGGAGAUGACCCCACUGCAUGCAUUCCUGCUGCGUUCGUGGCUCCAGCAGCUUGAAGCGCAGCUCAAACUGCUCCAGUGCUGCCUGCUGGACGGUGGCAAACCAGCGCAGGCUGACCCAGUCCCAGUGGGCCACUGACUCCUUCCGGUUAAACAUGACCGGCAUCUUGGUGCUCAGCAUGAGCCGGAUGUGUGGGAUCUUGGUGGCUCCGAUGUCAGACACCAGGUGGUGCUUGAUAUGCAGGCGGCUUGGUACCAUCAUGGCCAGGAAGUUGUCCAUGACAGCGGACAAGUAUGCUAGACGCUGUUCCACAAGUCCCCAGCCAGCCAGGAAAGGCCGCAGGUCUGGCGACUCAAGCAGGGAGUCCAGCUCCAGGCGGCCCUGGUCCAGCUGCUCCAGCAGGUCCCCAAGCAGCAGAAGCUGGAUCUUUGUCUGUGCCGCGGCCCACCUUCUUCAUGCGCUUGAACCUGCAGGGGUCAAUGAGCUGAUACAUAGUGCUGGGCAGCACCGCGUGAGUUCUGGUUGCCCAGGGCCAGAUGCUUGGGAAGAUCUCGAUGUGGUAGGGCACUUCCUGAGCAGCUGGAUGCGGGCAUGGUGGCACUUGAGCAGGUAGGGGCUCAGGUCCAGAGGUCAGGAACUCCCGCAGGGUGUUGCGGCGCUCUGUGUAGGGUCCUCCAGGCCUCCGGUUCCAGCAGCUGCUGAUCCUCCACCUCCUCCGCGUGCAGAAAGCACUGUGAACUGUCCAGCUUCAUCUUGUCCAGGCCCAGGCCUGCUACCUGGAAGGUCACUGGGAGCAGGCAGGGAGGGCUGUGCAUGAGCUGCAAUAGUCAGGCUGGCCCUCUGCUGCCCACCUCGGCCCUCUGCCCUCCCCUGGGGCACUCGAGAGGAGGCUGGGGCAGGACAGGCAGAGGGCUGUG